rnacentral:rRNA from 1 species
UACGGUAGGGGGCAAGCGUUUGUCCGGAUUUAUUGGGCGUAAAGAGCGUGUAGGCGGCUAGGUAGGUCCGUUGUGAAAACUCGAGGCUCAACCUCGAGACGUCGAUGGAAACCAUCUAGCUAGAGUCCGGAAGAGGAGAGUGGAAUUCCUGGUGUAGCGGUGAAAUGCGCAGAUAUCAGGAGGAACACCGGUGGCGAAGGCGGAUCUCUGGGCCGAUACUGACGCUGAGGAGCGAAAGCGUGGGGAGCGAACAGG